GUUCUUUUGCAAUUUCAUUUAUUUUGGUCAACAAUAUGUGACUUUUCUUCAUGAACAUCCUGCAUAUUCCUUGUUUCAUUUAUCCUUGGUUAUUUAGAACAUUUCUUCUAUUUUAGUGCUAACUUCAAUUGACUCAAAUUUUGUUGAUGGCUUGUGAGAUCAACCAAAAGCUAAAUGAAAUCAGUCUUCUGUGUGUGUGUGUGUUUUUAAUGCUUUCUAGAUUAGUCUGACAUGCACACCCAAUUGGAAAACACUAGUGCAGAAGAGGGAGAGCCUAAUAUCAGCAUUACCUAGGUAUUAGAAGAAUUUGGAUAUUAUCGUAUACACCUGGCAUGAUAGCUAGGACAGAACCUGUUCUGCCGGGAGAAGGCGCCUGCUCAGGGUUUCUCUUUCCCUACGUGGGAACCCCUGAAGGAGAGUCCUGCCUGUGAUCUUCAUUUAGAAGGCUAGUGCUGACCACUGCUUGGUUUUCAUCAAUCCGUCCUUGAAUAUCCCCAAUCUCAUCUUAAAUCUGAAUUGAACCUGUCAUAUUAUAGCCUGGCUCUUCUCUCACCAACUAUUUGGGGGUUGCUGUCUUCUAGAACCCAGCCAACAUACUGUGAUGAAGCCUAAACAACUGUGGAAAGGCUCACGUGGAGAGGAGUCAAUGCCCACUGAUCUGUAGCCUUGGCUGAGCUCUGAGCCAACAGUCAUGAUCAACUUCCAGCCAUAUAAGUGAACCAUCUUGAAAGAGGCUUCACCAGUACCAAGUUGAGCAACUUGAUUAUGUUACCAAAGAUCACCUCCUUCCUAUCAUCUUCUGUCUGAGACUUGUUUAGAGUGAGUUUGGAAGCUGUGUUUUGCUCAUCCUGAAGACUGAAUAUAAGAAAAUAUUGCUUAAGUUCUGGAUGAUGCAGCUGCUGAAAUGAUCUCUGGUGCACUUUCCUUCAGGAAUCCUUACCUAUUUUUUCAGGUGUUCCACAAGCCUUCUUAUCUUGGAAUUCAAUAAUACUUAUUGUGUGAUUGCUUACUGUUCCCUAGGCACCCUGAAGCAUUGAAGCUUUGAAGCUUUGUCUCAUGCUUUCAAGUAAUGUUCUCGUGUUUACCUGCUGAUAUUCCUUCAAAGUUAGAGGCUGCCUCUCUCCAAGGGAAAAAAACAAUCAGAUGUCACUAAGAUAUUGUGUAACAAUUCAUAUUAAAAAGAUGAUCUUGUCAGUCAAGAAGAAGAGAUUAAAACAAACACCUUGAGAGUUCAUGAGUAGAAGUAUACAGCCCUGCAUUUAUGAUAAUAUGGUGCAUUUUACCUACCUUGCAGCAGAAAGAGAUAUCUAAUUCUGUACACAGCAAUGUAACUGCUUAAAAUGCUCCUAAAAUUCAGACAAAACAAAUUAUAAAUAGUAUCAAGAUCAAAGAAGCUGAAAGUCCCUAUGUUUGACGUAGGCACAGCAAAGUUUCAUGUAUAUGCUCAUUUCUCCGCACUGCAAGUAUGGAGAAACCAUCAGAAAGCAUGCUGAAAAUAGACAGGGCUUCUAUUCAAAACAGAAAGCUCCUGCCUGUUUUACUGAAGGCUACCAGAUUCUUUGUCAGAAAUUUUGUACAGUUCAGAGGCACAAAUGCUCUUUUAGGUCCUUUGAAGCACUGGGUUUAAUAUCGGAAUUUAAUCUUGGCUCCAGUCUCCAAUUCCUUACAUAGUCAUUCAAGCAAUCUUGGGGACCAAGUCUUCCAACAGCAUAGUGAUAUUCAUGCCUGAAGUGGGAGGAAUAGAUAUCCUCCUCAUUAACAAGGGACAAGAGAUCAUGUUUCAUAGGCAAAAUACUCAUGCAUGCAAAAAUGUAACUUUUCCAGUAAUUUUUUUAGUACUGAAAUUAGCUUAGCUCGUUAGCUCCCUCUUCUACCUAGUAGCAGGGAAUGCAAUUUUGCUAACCCAGGUGACUCAUUAUUUCUGUUUUCAAGUUUAGUUUAUUUUAGGUAAAUUUUUGAAUUCAUAAUGUUUUUCUGACCUUUCUUCUCUUCCAAAAGAGGUUAUUCUAACUUCUUAAUGGGUUUACUUUUGUAGUUGUUACU
rnacentral:lncRNA from 1 species